rnacentral:misc_RNA from 1 species
CCUUAAAGAACUGUUCUUUGCAGUGCUCACACAGAUUGUCUGAUGAAAAACGAGCAGUAAAACCUCUACAGGCUUGUAGCUCAGGUGGUUAGAGCGCACCCCUGAUAAGGGUGAGGUCGGUGGUUCAAGUCCACUCAGGCCUACCAGAUUCGCUCCCGUGCUUUGUUGUGGCAAAGCUCGCAUACUUCAGUAUGCUUCGCUUCACCACGCCGCGCCCGGAAACGAAUCAAAGGUAAGAGGUUCUGACUACACGAUGGGGCUAUA